UACGAAGGGGGCGAGCGUUAUUCGGAAUCACUGGGCGUAAAGCGUGCGUAGGCUGCUUGGAAAGUUGGAAGUGAAAGCCCAGGGCUCAACCCUGGAAUUGCUUUCAAAACUACCAGGCUCGGAUUCGGGAGAGGAUAGCGGAAUUGUCAGUGUAGCAGUGAAAUGCGUAGAUAUUGACAGGAACACCAGUGGCGCAAGCGGCUAUCUGGACCGACAUCGACGCUGAGGCACGAAAGCGUGGGGAUCAAACAGGAUUAGAAA
rnacentral:rRNA from 1 species